CCUACGGGCGGCAGCAGUGGGGAAUAUUGCACAAUGGGCGCAAGCCUGAUGCAGCCAUGCCGCGUGUGUGAAGAAGGCCUUCGGGUUGUAAAGCACUUUCAGCGGGGAGGAAGGCGGUAAGGUUAAUACCCUUGGCGAUUGACGUUACCCGCAGAAGAAGCACCGGCUAACUCCGUGCCAGCAGCCGCGGUAAUACGGAGGGUGCAAGCGUUAAUCGGAAUUACUGGGCGUAAAGCGCACGCAGGCGGUCUGUCAAGUCGGAUGUGAAAUCCCCGGGCUCAACCUGGGAACUGCAUUCGAAACUGGCAGGCUAGAGUCUUGUAGAGGGGGGUAGAAUUCCAGGUGUAGCGGUGAAAUGCGUAGAGAUCUGGAGGAAUACCGGUGGCGAAGGCGGCCCCCUGGACAAAGACUGACGCUCAGGUGCGAAAGCGUGGGGAGCAAACAGGAUUAGAUACCCGGGUAGUC
rnacentral:rRNA from 1 species